rnacentral:rRNA from 1 species
UACGGGGGGGGGCAAGCGUUGUUCGGAAUUACUGGGCGUAAAGGGCUCGUAGGCGGCCAACUAAGUCAGACGUGAAAUCCCCAGGCUCAACCUGGGAACUGCGUCUGAUACUGGAUGGCUUGAAUCCGGGAGAGGGAUGCAGAAUUCCAGGUGUAGCGGUGAAAUGCGUAGAUAUCUGGAGGAAUACCGGUGGCGAAGGCGGCAUCCUGGACCGGCAUUGACGCUGAGGAGCGAAAAGCUAGGGGAGCAAACGGG